UCUCUCAAAGCCACCAGGAAGUCGUGUAGUCUCUCUAGAAGUCCGAUGUUUGAAUUGUACGGUGCCCAUUUAUGAGCCGGUUAACAAUGAUUUAGUUUACAAUGUAUUACUGAAUGACUUUACCAUCAAAGGCGGAGACGGGUUUACAAUGAUUCGUGAUGGAAACCUAGACCAUAUACAAACAAAUUCUCUGGAUUCCGACGUGUUUAAAACCUAUCUCACAAAACAUAACCCCGUAUUUGCCGAUACUGAGGGUAGGAUAAGGUUUAUUAAUUCAUCGGAGACUUCUUCUGCAUCGACAUCAUCUACAUCAACGUCGCCAUUUGCAUCAACGAAAGUACCGUCUGAUAAAGGGUGCAUUAAUAGCGCCGACAGCAUAGGGCGCUUGUUUCAUAUGCAUGUCAUCAUAAUAGUAGCAUCUUUACAGCAAUUUAUGUGACCGCAAUGUUCGUUUUAUAUUUAAAGCAGCAUGCCUCCAGAUUCAUGUUGAUUUCCAUUCAAAUGUUUAAAAUGUACUUAAUAAUGUGAAUGUGAAGUGAACAAAACAGUAAUUUACACAUUUUAACGGCAUUUACAAUCCACGUAAGUUACCAGAAAGAGGUCAUAAUAUGCAAAUACUAAAACACCGGUCUUUAAUUGCACAUAACAUGUAAAUGAUUUCUUGAAUCUUGAAUAUUUCUACUUUUUUUAAACCUUUGUACAUUUUUAUCAAGUGUGAUUUUCAUGAAAUAUUUGGCUCAUCUGGAGGCAUCUUAAACAGUUAUCAGAUGCAAAAGUAUAAAGGUUGUUUUGUUGUGUUCAUAGCAUACACAUUAGUUGAUAUGUCAAUUGCUUUUUGUAAUGUCUUUGUAUAUAGAUAUAGGUUGAUUUUCAAUUAUUAUUUUGUGUUCAGAUGCCAGGCAGAUUCCGUAUUUGUAAAA